UUUUUUUAUAAUUUUAUACCAAAAAAUGAUAUGUUUUCUACCAUUUCUAAGUUCAAAAGUACUUAAGCUUAUUUAUGAUAUAUUUCAAAUCUAAUUUUGGAGCACAUUAAGCCUAAAAUCUUUCUUCGAAAGGAUCGAUUUUUUUAAUAAUCUUUAAAUAAAAUAAAUUCUGACAAAAAUUCAUAAAUAUGCGUUACUAUGAUUAAUAGCUUUCAACCUUUGAUAUUAAUAUCCAUAUCAAACCAUACAAAUAUCUUUAGAAUGUCACACAGAGACAUCUUUCAGGAGUUUUGCAAAUAUUUAUGACAAAAAUAGAGAGCACCAAAUCACAAUAAUGUUCCAGUAGCCAAAACACAAAUCAAAAGAACUUU
rnacentral:lncRNA from 1 species